GACGAACGCUGGCGGCGUGCUUAACACAUGCAAGUCGAACGGAAAGGCCCUGCUUUUGUGGGGUGCUCGAGUGGCGAACGGGUGAGUAACACGUGAGUAACCUGCCCUGGACUUUGGGAUAACUUCAGGAAACUGGGGCUAAUACCGGAGAGGAGCUCCUGCUGCAUGGUGGGGGUUGGAAAGUUUCGGCGGUUGGGGAUGGACGCGCGGCUUAUCAGCUUGUUGGGGGGGUAGUGGCUUACCAAGGCUUUGACGGGUAGCCGGCCUGGGAGGGUGACCGGCCACAUUGGGCCUGAGAUACGGACCAGAGUCCUACGGGAGGCAGCAGUGGGGAAUCUUGCACAAUGGGCGGAAGCCCGAUGCAGCAACGCUGCGUGCGGGAUGAAGGCCUUCGGGUUGUAAACCGCUUUCGCCUGUGACGAAGCGUGAGUGACGGUAAUGGGUAAAGAAGCACCGGCUAACUACGUG
rnacentral:rRNA from 1 species